AUGUAAUUGGACACACCCUCUUCUUGCUUUGGUGACCCACAUGUAUUGUGUGCGUGCCCAUGUCCACUGUGUGAGUGAGUGAAGGAGAGAGAACAGUGUGUGUGAGAGUGAGUGAAGGAGAGAGAACAGUGUGUGUGAGAGUGAGUGAGUGAAGGAGAGAGAACAGUGUCGUCUCACUGUGUGAGACUGUGAUGUCAUAGUCUUUGUUCCCUACGCCUGGCUCUGCUCUGACUAUCAAGCUAACCCAGACAGAGUGAGGACUAAGGGGAGAGAGGAAGGAACCGAAGGAGGAGAGGAGAUGGAGCACACUGAUCAUCCUUUGCAGACAGGAGCAGUUAAACAACAUACAAGGCUCAAAUACAUCCCCAGCUUCGACUGACCUGAGGAUCCCACAUCGACAGCAACUCUUCCAUGACCAAAGACUGACCAGCACCACAUUUGAAAAAAUAACACUUUUCAGAGCCAUAGUAAACCAUACUGCCGAUAACCCAUGUACUGACUUGAAGGAGAGAGGGACAAAUAUCCAAUCAAAUCAAACUUUAUUUGUCACAUGCACUGAAUACAACAAGUGUAGACCUUACUGUGAAAUGCUUACUUACAAGCCCUUAAUCAACACUGCAGUUCAAGAAGAGUUAAGAAAAUACCCAAAAUCACAAUAACAAAGCUCUAUACAGCGGGUACCAGCACCGAGUCAGUGUGCGGGGGUACAGGUUAGUUGAGGUCAUUUGUACAUGUAGGCAGGCGUGAAGUGACUAUACAUAGAUAAUAAACAACGGGGAGCAGCAUUGUCCAACACUUCCCCUCCUUACUGGCACUAGAGAAGGACUUUCUAGAUCAGACUAAUAUCUGAUAUCUUUAGUGCAGAAUUAAGAAUCACUGAAGCAUAAGCUACCCUAUAUAUUGUCCUCUGUCUAGGGGCUGAGCUAGGCUUCUCAUCACAGUCCAUCUUGGAAUGGAUGGCGCUGAUGUAAAUAUUGACAUUGUGUGGCUGCCUGUCCUCAUCUGAUCUGUACUAAAAGAGAGAGAAGAGAAAGUUCUGGGAGCUCAUCCAUAACCCUUUGACUCAACUGGCGGUGACCUCAGAGCUGCCCCAGGGGCAGAGUUGGAUGUGAGGCAGCUGUCCGCUGCAGUCGACAUACAACCAACUUUCUCUUUUAUGCCCUCUGUUUGUUCUUUUAUUGUAGCUACACGUCUUUCUCUCUCAUCAAAGAGUUCAGAUAAACACAUUCUAUGCCAGCACUCCUGAGGGAACACGCUCGCUCUCUCACUGGAGGCCUGAGUCCACGCUCGCUCUCUCACUGGAGGCCUGAGUCCACGCUCGCUCUCUCACUGGAGGCCUGAGUCCACGCUCGCUCUCUCACUGGAGGCCUGAGUCCACGCUCGCUCUCUCACUGGAGGCCUGAGUCCACGCUCGCUCUCUCACUGGAGGCCUGAGUCCACGCUCGCGCUCUCACUGGAGGCCUGAGUCCACGCUCGCGCUCUCACUGGAGGCCUGAGUCCACGCUCGCGCUCUCACUGGAGGCCUGAGUCCACGCUCGCGCUCUCACUGGAGGCCUGAGUCAGAUUAUGCCACUGUGCAAGAAGUGUGCGUGUCAGUGACUCUGUCAUGUCUGUGUCUGUCUGUCAAUAAGUGUGAGUGACAUCAGGUAUCUAAUGGUUACCUGUGUCUGUCUGUGUGAAUGAGUGACAUAACGUGUGUGUGUAUAUAUCAGCAUCUAACCUCCACUGUGUGUCAAGUCCACUGUUUG
ensembl:lncRNA